GGGUUGUGAGGUUAAGCGACUAAGCGUACACGGUGGAUGCCCUGGCAGUCAGAGGCGAUGAAGGACGUGCUAAUCUGCGAAAAGCGUCGGUAAGGUGAUAUGAACCGUUAUAACCGGCGAUGUCCGAAUGGGGAAACCCAGUGCAAUUCGUUGCACUAUCGUUAACUGAAUACAUAGGUUAACGAGGCGAACCGGGGGAACUGAAACAUCUAAGUACCCCGAGGAAAAGAAAUCAACCGAGAUUCCCCCAGUAGCGGCGAGCGAACGGGGAGCAGCCCAGAGUCUGAAUCAGCUUGUGUGUUAGUGGAACGGUCUGGAAAGUCCGACGGUACAGGGUGAUAGUCCCGUACACCAAAAUGCACAGGUUGUGAACUCGAAGAGUAGGGCGGGACACGUGGUAUCCUGUCUGAAUAUGGGGGGACCAUCCUCCAAGGCUAAAUACUCCUGACUGACCGAUAGUGAACCAGUACCGUGAGGGAAAGGCGAAAAGAACCCCGGCGAGGGGAGUGAAAAAGAACCUGAAACCGUGUACGUACAAGCAGUGGGAGCACCUUCGGGUGUGACUGCGUACCUUUUGUAUAAUGGGUCAGCGACUUAUAUUCUGUAGCAAGGUUAACCGUAUAGGGGAGCCGCAGGGAAACCGAGUCUUAACUGGGCGUUAAGUUGCAGGGUAUAGACCCGAAACCCGGUGAUCUAGCCAUGGGCAGGUUGAAGGUUGGGUAACACUAACUGGAGGACCGAACCGACUAAUGUUGAAAAAUUAGCGGAUGACUUGUGGCUGGGGGUGAAAGGCCAAUCAAACCGGGAGAUAGCUGGUUCUCCCCGAAAGCUAUUUAGGUAGCGCCUCGUGAACUCAUCUUCGGGGGUAGAGCACUGUUUCGGCUAGGGGGUCAUCCCGACUUACCAACCCGAUGCAAACUACGAAUACCGAAGAAUGUUAUCACGGGAGACACACGGCGGGUGCUAACGUCCGUCGUGAAGAGGGAAACAACCCAGACCGCCAGCUAAGGUCCCAAAGUCAUGGUUAAGUGGGAAACGAUGUGGGAAGGCACAGACAGCCAGGAUGUUGGCUUAGAAGCAGCCAUCAUUUAAAGAAAGCGUAAUAGCUCACUGGUCGAGUCGGCCUGCGCGGAAGAUGUAACGGGGCUAAACCAUGCACCGAAGCUGCGGCAGCGACACUAUGUGUUGUUGGGUAGGGGAGCGUUCUGUAAGCCUGCGAAGGUGUGCUGUGAGGCAUGCUGGAGGUAUCAGAAGUGCGAAUGCUGACAUAAGUAACGAUAAAGCGGGUGAAAAGCCCGCUCGCCGGAAGACCAAGGGUUCCUGUCCAACGUUAAUCGGGGCAGGGUGAGUCGACCCCUAAGGCGAGGCCGAAAGGCGUAGUCGAUGGGAAACAGGUUAAUAUUCCUGUACUUGGUGUUACUGCGAAGGGGGGACGGAGAAGGCUAUGUUAGCCGGGCGACGGUUGUCCCGGUUUAAGCAUGUAGGCUGAUUGUCCAGGCAAAUCCGGAUAAUCAAGGCUGAGGUGUGAUGACGAGGCACUACGGUGCUGAAGUAACAAAUGCCCUGCUUCCAGGAAAAGCCUCUAAGCAUCAGGUAACAUUAAAUCGUACCCCAAACCGACACAGGUGGUCAGGUAGAGAAUACCAAGGCGCUUGAGAGAACUCGGGUGAAGGAACUAGGCAAAAUGGUGCCGUAACUUCGGGAGAAGGCACGCUGGUGUGUAGGUGAAGUCCCUGCGGAUGGAGCUGAGACCAGUCGAAGAUACCAGCUGGCUGCAACUGUUUAUUAAAAACACAGCACUGUGCAAACACGAAAGUGGACGUAUACGGUGUGACGCCUGCCCGGUGCCGGAAGGUUAAUUGAUGGGGUUAUCCGUAAGGAGAAGCUCUUGAUCGAAGCCCCGGUAAACGGCGGCCGUAACUAUAACGGUCCUAAGGUAGCGAAAUUCCUUGUCGGGUAAGUUCCGACCUGCACGAAUGGCGUAAUGAUGGCCCAGGCUGUCUCCACCCGAGACUCAGUGAAAUUGAACUCGCUGUGAAGAUGCAGUGUACCCGCGGCAAGACGGAAAGACCCCGUGAACCUUUACUAUAGCUUGACACUGAACAUUGAGCCUUGAUGUGUAGGAUAGGUGGGAGGCUUUGAAGCGUGGACGCCAGUCUGCGUGGAGCCAACCUUGAAAUACCACCCUUUAAUGUUUGAUGUUCUAACGUUGGCCCCUGACCGGGGUUGCGGACAGUGUCUGGUGGGUAGUUUGACUGGGGCGGUCUCCUCCCAAAGCGUAACGGAGGAGCACGAAGGUUAGCUAAUCCUGGUCGGACAUCAGGAGGUUAGUGCAAUGGCAUAAGCUAGCUUGACUGCGAGCGUGACGGCGCGAGCAGGUGCGAAAGCAGGUCAUAGUGAUCCGGUGGUUCUGAAUGGAAGGGCCAUCGCUCAACGGAUAAAAGGUACUCCGGGGAUAACAGGCUGAUACCGCCCAAGAGUUCAUAUCGACGGCGGUGUUUGGCACCUCGAUGUCGGCUCAUCACAUCCUGGGGCUGAAGUAGGUCCCAAGGGUAUGGCUGUUCGCCAUUUAAAGUGGUACGCGAGCUGGGUUUAGAACGUCGUGAGACAGUUCGGUCCCUAUCUGCCGUGGGCGCUGGAGAAUUGAGGGGGGGGCUGCUCCUAGUACGAGAGGACCGGAGUGGACGCAUCACUGGUGUUCGGGUUGUCAUGCCAAUGGCACUGCCCGGUAGCUAAAUGCGGAAGAGAUAAGUGCUGAAAGCAUCUAAGCACGAAACUUGCCCCGAGAUGAGUUCUCCCUGAGACUUUAAGUCUCCUGAAGGAACGUUGAAGACGACGACGUUGAUAGGCCGGGUGUGUAAGCGCAGCGAUGCGUUGAGCUAACCGGUACUAAUGAACCGUGAGGCUUAACCUUACAACGCCGAAG
rnacentral:rRNA from 1 species